rnacentral:rRNA from 1 species
GCAGCAGUGGGGAAUAUUGCGCAAUGGCCGAAAGGCUGACGCAGCGACGCCGCGUGGGGGAUGAAGCAUUUCGGUGUGUAAACCCCUGUUGCUCGGGACGAACAACUGGUUUUGACCAGUCUGACGGUACCGAGUGAGGAAGCACCGGCUAACUCCGUGCCAGCAGCCGCGGUAAUACGGAGGGUGCGAGCGUUGUCCGGAAUCACUGGGCGUAAAGGGCGCGUAGGCGGCCUGCUAAGUGUGCGGUGAAAGCCUGGGGCUCAACCCCAGGUCUGCCGUGCAAACUGGUGGGCUUGAGCACUGUAGAGGCAGGUGGAAUUCCGGGUGUAGCGGUGGAAUGCGUAGAGAUCCGGAAGAACACCAGUGGCGAAGGCGGCCUGCUGGGCAGUAGCUGACGCUGAGGCGCGAUAGCGUGGGGAGCAAACAGGAUUAGAUACCCUGGUAGUCCACGCCGUAAACGAUGGGUACUAGGUGCUUGGGGGAGCGACCCCCCGAGUGCCGGCGCUAACGCAUAAGUACCCGC